GCCGUCCUAGAUCAUUUGGUAGAGCGCAAGGCUCUUAGUCUUGUGGUCCAAGGUUCGAGCCCCUGGGGUGUCG
rnacentral:tRNA from 1 species